CCAAUACUCGCUCCGUCCGAAAAUAUUUGUCAUAAAGAAAAAUGAUGUAUCUAGAUGUAUUUCAGUUUUAGAUACAUCUUUUUUCAUCCAUUUUGAUGACAAGUAUUUUUGGAUGAAAGGAGUACUUG
rfam:Triticum aestivum genome assembly, contig: Triticum_aestivum_CS42_TGACv1_scaffold_404563_5BL